CAAAGAGCUUAGGGGACUUGCCCAAGGUCACUCUGUGAGUCAGGGUGAGCGGUGACAAAGACGUGGCUGAUGCCGUGCCCGCCCGGCUCCGGAGCCUCUCUCUCCGGAGCGGAGAUCAGCAGCUGGACUGACAAACCAGUGGGAGAGGGAGCUCAUUGGAAGAUCCAUGUUGGCAGCCCAGUCUGGAAGCAAAGUCAAAAGGAAGGCAAAAC
rnacentral:lncRNA from 12 species